CCACAGCUGCAACCGCUCGGAAUGAGUUUUAAGUUCAGUAAUGACACUUAUCUUCGGCGAGUCUAAGUUAACUU
rfam:Lactobacillus oryzae DNA, contig: sequence01, strain: SG293.